UACGUAGGUGGCAAGCGUUGUCCGGAUUUACUGGGCGUAAAGGGCGUGCAGGCGGUCUGUUAAGUGCAGGGUGAAAGCUCCCGGCUCAACUGGGAGAGGUCCUUGCAUACUGGCGGACUUGAGGGGGGUAGAGGAAAGUGGAAUUCCCGGUGUAGUGGUGAUAUGCGUAGAUAUCGGGAGGAACACCUGUGGCGAAGGCGGCUUUCUGGGCCCUACCUGACGCUGAGACACGAAAGCCAGGGGAGCGAACGGG
rnacentral:rRNA from 1 species